rnacentral:tRNA from 1 species
GGCUUGUUGGUCUAGGGUUAUAAUUAAUGCUUUGGCUCAGGAAAGGUCCUCGGUUCAAAUCCUGGACAAGCCC